rnacentral:sRNA from 1 species
CUCUUCUCCCACAAAAGUGACUUGGCCUCAUUUUCCGCGAAGAUUUCCAUUGACGCUACAUCCUGCAGAGAUUGAAAACAUUUACGCACUACAGCUGAUAUGAUUUACGCGCUAGUCUCUGAAGCUUCCAGUUAACCUGAAAAAACCUUGACUCCCAAUUUCGAAAGGUAUUUUAGUGUGAACCCUAAAGGAGAACACUGAGAUUGCAGUGAGGUUGCAGAGAAAGAGAACAACACAAAUCUGUUUGUACGAUUGGAGAAUGCAGGUGCAAAUCUGUUAGUGUGAUUGGAGAACGUAGGUGCUUUCAAGAGAGAAUCAGUGAACUGCAAAAUUGUUACGCAGGCGUCCCAUGAUCAAAACUAGCAUGUACUGUUGAGUGUGUCUCUUAGCGCAAAUUAUUUUGUCUGCAUUUUGAGAUUGAUAUUGAAUUCACUUUUCAUUUUAUUUGUAGUUGAUGACUCAUUGAUUUUUUAUGAAACCAAAUUUGCUUAACCUAAUUAAGCUAGCGAUCUAAUAAUGGUUAAGA